CCGAGUUUACAACUCCCAAACCCAUGUGAACAUACCUCUGUUGCCUCGGUGGCCUACCUGGUAGCUAUUCGUAGUUGCCCUGUAGUCCGCCGAAGGACCACUAAACUCUGUUUUUUUAAUAUCUCUGAGUCAACUAUAAAUAAGUUA
rnacentral:misc_RNA from 1 species